GCACAUUUGAUUAUCAUUUCACUAUUACUACUAUUAUCAUGAUCUUUUAUUAGUUACUGCGUAAGUUUACCUCGUCAAGUUAUUUUAGUUUGUUCAUCAAAAAUGCAAGGAAAAGAGAAAGUAUCUGUAAACUGUAACGGUACACAGAAAAGUCACACAGUACAUGAUUUCAUUCACCAAAGACUGAUAGACAUUAGACUCGCAGAACUAUAAGAUUAAGAGGACCCCUUGGAUUCUUAACAGGAUUUUCUGGUCUCUGUGUCCACGAAGAACUCCAGAAAUAUUCCAAACCAUCAAUUGAAUCCUAGCAAUCUUAACUCUGGCUGUUUUGAUAUGACAACUGAGGUUGGUUUGGCCAAACAUGUAUCAGUUCAUAGCUUUCCCACUUUCUUGAAUCGAACUGCCUCAUGUAUUUCCCACUUGAUUUCAAUUGGUUUUCCCUGUAGUUUUAGUUGGAUGGACAUGGACUGUUGAAGCCUAAGAGAUGUUUAAAAACCAUGAUCAAGAUCAUUAAGGAGAUGUUGCCUCCACAUGUACGCGUUGCAAGAGAUGCUCAAGAUCUUCUCAUCGAGUGUUGUGUAGAAUAGGCAAACAGCUUUAUUUUCUGCAACCCAGACUAAGAAGGUUGAAGAUCUUGCUGGUUUUUCCUUCCAGACAACGCC